rnacentral:misc_RNA from 1 species
CAGAGUUCAUGCCCGAAAGGGUAGACCUCCCACCCUUGUGUAUUAUUACUUUGUUGCUUUGGCGAGUCGUUUUCGGACGCUCGCCAAAGGAUAAUCAAACUCUUUUUAUUUUUGUCGUCUGAGUACUAUAUAAUAGUUA